CCAGACUCCUACGGGAGGCAGCAGUGGGGAAUAUUGCACAAUGGGGGAAACCCUGAUGCAGCGACGCCGCGUGAGUGAAGAAGUAUUUCGGUAUGUAAAGCUCUAUCAGCAGGGAAGAAAAUGACGGUACCUGAUUAAGAAGCCCCGGCUAACUACGUGCCAGCAGCCGCGGUAAUACGUAGGUGGCAAGCGUUAUCCGGAUUUACUGGGUGUAAAGGGAGCGUAGGCGGGACGGCAAGUCAGAUGUGAAAACUGAGGGCUCAACUUUCAGACUGCAUUUGAAACUGCUGUUCUUGAGUGAAGUAGAGGUAAGCGGAAUUCCUAGUGCAGCGGUGAAAUGCGUAGAUAUUAGGAGGAACACCAGUGGCGAAGGCGGCUUACUGGACUGUAACUGACGUUGAGGCUCGAAAGCGUGGGGAGCAAACAGGAUUAGAUACCCCUGUAC
rnacentral:rRNA from 1 species